UGCCAGUUCAUUCCCUUCUCCCUCACAAGAAGCACCUUCCAGACCCUCCAUGGCAUUCCAUCCUCUCUCCUGUGGACAAGUGACAACAGGGCUGUGCACUCCAGACCCCCACCCAGAUGUGCACCCUUUCCCUCAGUCAGAAUCCCCCAUCUUCUUUCUCUUUAUUGACCCCAGGGGGUCCAAGAAGGAAAAAAUACAAAACCAGGUUCCUCCCAGAUGAUACCUUCUCAGGUGGGCAAUUUUGCCAGAGGUCUCUACCAGAAGUUCCUCCCCUUUCUUGCCCUCAGAUAAAAAAUUCACCCACACACCCUCAUCUUCGUUUCCCUCAUGGGCACUGCAGGAGCCAGGAGGCGUUCUUGGUAAGGUGACAACUUCUGGGCUGACGGCAUGAGGAUAAAAGUUCAGAUCCUUUGCCACCCGAAAGCUGGAGCUUGAAACUGCUGCAUCUUUGAAGAUUGCGGAGCUAGAGGAUGGCGCUUGGACAAAAGCCUUUCCAGUGGAGACACUCGAGAUGCCCGGGGAAGACGCAGAGCCUCGCGGCCGCGGGCCCAGUACUUACGUUCAGCUUUGGUCCCCGCUCUCCGGCUCCGGAGAGACCGCGCGAGACCCGGCUGCGUUCGCGGGUCCCGGGAGCCCCGAAUCCGCUGUCUGGCGGCGGCUGCGGCUGAGCGUCCGGCCCGGUAAUUAGAGGCACGGGGACGGCGAUACCCCGGCCGGCUCCCGCCUUCUGGCCCCCAUCAACAGGCUCUAAAGGGCUUCAGACUUACUCAUUUCCUGGAUGUCAAAGAAACUUUUCCUCCUUAUAAGAACAAAACACCCGCCUCUACUCCCGACCGCGGAGGCUCCUUAAGGUGGACCAUGAGGGUUAGGAGGGGCUGGACCCAGGGUCCGCCGCAGGGGUCUGCCCAUCGACCACCCCAGAAACUGCAGAGGGGACAGCAGAACUGGAGGGUGAUCGGGCGAGACGGAAUCUGGCUACUGGAGUAAUCUAGGGCGAAUGGACAGGGAGUCGGGGGAAGGCGCCCUUAAAAUUCGUUCUGGGCCGGCGGAAAGGAAGGGGUUAAGUUCCAGCACGCCUACAAGCGUUUUCCGCGGCGCGUUUUACAAGCUGUGGAAUUCCAGGGGCCACCUAUUUUGUUCUCUGGAGGGAAAUAUAAAUCGAGACACAACGCCGGCCCUUUUCUCUUUUGCCGCUUGAGUGGAUUAAAAUAACUCACCAAAUGCUAUGAUAAA